GGUAUCUUAGCUCAGUUGGUAGAGCAAUGGACUGAAAAUCCAUGUGUCCCUGGUUCGAUUCCUGGAGAUACCACAA
rnacentral:tRNA from 2 species